AACAACGGGUUUUUGUUGUUGUUGUUGUUGUUUUUGUUUUGUUUUGUUUUGUUUUUUUGCAUCAGUGGAGAUUGGUACUAAGUGGUUGCAUAGCUGUGACUAGGGCUAUGACACUACUAAAUCAAAUGCCAGCUUAUUACAAGACAUAAGGAAUCCAUUAAAGUGGCUCAAGCAUGAAUUUCAGCAUAGAAUUGUGGCUCUGCAGAUGGUGAAGAAUCCUAAGAAUGCAUCAGCAGGUAGCUAUAGCACAGAUGAGAGAAUGGGAGUGGACAGUCUAUGAACAGGAGCAAGAUUGAAGAGUCGCUAACUGCAGCAUUGAUAGGACAUGAGGAAGGCCAUAGGUUUUAAAUCAGAAGAUAACAGGCGAAAGCUAAUGACACUAGAAGUGAGAUUAACUGAGAUUAAUUUCUCCAACUUCCGUUUUGAGCAGAAUUAGAAUGCCUGAAGAAAUAGUAAAGAUGAAAAAAAGUGAAGUUGAGAUACGUUACUGGCAAGGACUGAUGGCUUAAGAAGAGAUGUCACUGAUUCUCACAAGCAAACAAAGGACAAAUGCUGACAGCUACCUUCACUUCAAUUGUUAACAAGCAAUUUCCAUCAGCUUUAGUGUGAAAUGGAUCAGCCAAUAUGAACGCAUAUUGUGAAUGACUCACCCUGUAUCAACUGUCUAUACAUGAGUAAAGCCACAUGUCCCCACACUGCUGAUAGUCUUUAUUAUGGGCUUUCUUUAAGGUAAGUGCUUCAGGAACAUAGGGGAAGAAGAAUAGGAAGAGUAAUACUGUGACUUUUCUGUCAGUGUAUUUCAGCAUCUCCUUUUGCCAAACAUCGGAGAAAGGGCCAAGAGAACCGGGUUUACUUAUCAUGGACACGAAAAGAUGGAUGGCAACUGUGCAGAAGAUAAAGCCAGGCUUUUCUCAGAGGUGCAUUAAGAGAGAACGAUGCAACAGAUGCAACUGGAAAUUCUGCUGGAAAUACCUGGAUUAGCACUGGAAAAUGUUGUCUGUAGAACCUCCAGUGUAGGGGAUUUUCAAAACUCAGCUGAACAAGGUUGUGAACAACCUGAUCUACAGUUGGAGUUCAUCCUGCUUUGAGCAGGAGGUUGGACUUGGUCUUGGUGGCUUUCAGAGGUCCCAGAGGGAUAUUUAUAAAUAAACAGCAGCAGAAUAACUAACAGAUUAGAAAGAAGAGCUUUUGUUACAGACAACAUCGCUGCAAAUAAUAUUAACUUCACACACUAAUAUAGUGCAAGUUACUUUAAACAAGUAUGACAGUGUCAGACAUACAGGCCCAUUAAAACAUUGGAACUCUUGCUAGUACCAUUUGCUAAUAAUCUUGUACACUGGACUUAUUUCAACUCAUUAGAAGCUUUAUAAGCUCAUUUUUAUAAUAUUUAUAACUAUACUUCAUGGAAAAAAAAAUGGACUACACUUCUGGAAGAAAAAGAUAAUCUGAGAAUUAAUUAAAAAAUAAAUCUUUUUAACUAUUAAAAAAAAAAAAGAAGAAGUUUAACAAAAGCUAAAGAAUGUCUUAAAGAUAAACCUUGAUCAAUCCUUCACUUCAACUGUGUUAGGUCUCUUGACAAUAAUUUGCUUUAGUUCUGAUGAGAGGUCCAUCUAAAAGUGUGUGGGCAAGCUGAGUAGUUUAGAGACACUUCAGAUAUGUUCAGAAAUGUUCAUAACCAAAGCACAGGCUUUCAGGAUACUGUUCUGCCCUGGUAUCUCUGUUUAUUCAUUACAAGUGUGAGUAUGUUACCGAUGAAAUAUAACUAGUUCUGUGCAACACCUUAAACCACUUUUUUUCAUCUUUGCUCAAAUUGUGUCCUCCUGAAAUUUUGAUACAGCGACUUUCUUCUCAUGUGGUAAAAGUUGUAUCAUAUAAUAUUAUCAAUUGCAUUCCCAAAUUGUAACAAAAUGAAUUCUGGAUGUAUUACACGUCCAAUAAAAAG
ensembl:lncRNA